UUCGGGGGACGAGGGUGACAGGUGGUGCAUGGUUGUCGUCGGCUCGUGUCGUGAGAUGUUGGGUUAAGUCCCGCAACGAGCGCAACCCUCGACCUUAGUUGCCAGCAUUCAGUUGGGCACUCUAAGGUGACUGCCGGCUAAAAGUCGGAGGAAGUGGGGAUGACGUCAAAUCAUCAUGCCCCUUAUGACCUGGGCUACACACGUGCUACAAUGGGCGGUACCAAAGGGUCCCGCGGAACCCGCGACGGGGGUAGGCCCAAUCCCAAAAAGCCGCUCUCAGUUCGGAUUGCAGGCUGCAACUCGCCUGCAUGAAGCCGGAAUCGCUAGUAAUCGCGGAUCAGCAUGCCCGCGGUCGAAUACGUUCCCGGGCCUU
rnacentral:rRNA from 1 species